AGAAUUUGCGAUCAAAGUGGUGGGAGCGGCAGACGGGUGAGUAAUACGUUGGAACCUGCCCCAAAGUCAGGGAUAACCAGUAGAAAUAUUGGCUAAUACCGGAUAGUCACGAAAGUGUAAAGCUUUUGCGCUUUGGGAGGGGCCUGCGGUCUAUCAGCUUGUUGGUAAGGUAAUGGCUUACCAAGGCUAUGACGGAUAGCUGGUUUGAGAGAAUGAUCAGCCACAAUGGAACUGAGACACGGUCCAUACUCCUACGGGAGGCAGCAGUGAGGAAUCUUCCGCAAUGGGCGAAAGCCUGACGGAGCAACACCGCGUGAAGGAUGAAGGUCGUAAGAUUGUAAACUUCUUUUCUGAGGGAAGAAUUCUGACGGUACCUCAGGAAUAAGCAUCGGCUAACUACGUGCCAGCAGCCGCGGUAAGACGUAGGAUGCAAGCGUUAUCCGGAAUUAUUGGGCAUAAAGAGUUCGUAGGCGGUUUGUUAAGUUGGAUGUUAAAUUUUUGAGCUCAACUUAAAAAAAGUAUCCAAAACUGGCAAACUGGAGACUGGUAGAGGUAAGUGGAAUUCUGCAUGUAGGGGUAAUAUCCGUAGAUAUGCAGAGGAACACCAAAAGCGAAGGCAGCUUACUGGACCAGUUCUGACGCUCAAGAACGAAAGCGUGGGUAGCGAACGGGAUUAGAUACCCCGGUAGUCCACGCCCUAAACGAUGAACACUAGGUAUUGGAGGUCUCGACCCCUUCAGUGCCGACGCAAAUGCCAUAAGUGUUCCGCCUGGGUAGUACGAGCGCAAGCUUAAAACUCAAAGGAAUAGACGGGGACCCACACAAGCGGUGGAGCAUCUGGUUUAAUUCGACAAUAAGCGAGGAACCUUACCAAGGCUUGACAUCCCGAGAAGAUCGCCGAAAGGUGAUUGUGCCGUUAGGAACUCGGUGACAGGUGCUGCAUGGUUGUCGUCAGCUCGUGCCUUGAGGUGUUCGGUUAAGUCCGUGAACGAGCGCAACCCUUGUCUCAAGUUGCAUAUUUCUUGAGAGACUGCCGGUUUCAAAUCGGAGGAAGGUAAGGAUGACGUCAAAUCAGCAUGGCCCUUAUGUCUUGGGCGACACAGGUG
rnacentral:rRNA from 1 species